AAUGGCUGCAGUAAUUUGACUGUACAAAGGUAGCAUAAUCAUUAGUUUUUUAAUUAAAAGCUUGUAUGAAAGGUUGGACGAAAUAAAUUCUGUCUCUUUUUAAUAAAAUUAGAAUUUAAUUUUUAAGUUAAAAAGCUUAAAUAUUUAUAAAAGACGAGAAGACCCUAUAGAGUUUUAUAAUUUAAAUUUAUUAAUUAAUUUAGAUUUAUUAAUUUUAUUUUUUUUAAAUUAUUUUAUUGGGGUAAUAGAAAGAUUAAAAAAAUUCUUUUUUUAUAAAAAUCAUUAAUUUAUGAAAAUUUUAUGAUCCAUUAAAUUUUGAAUAUAAGAUUAAAUUACCUUAGGGAUAACAGCGUAAUUUUUUUUAAGAGUUCAUAUCGAUAAAAAAGUUUGCGACCUCGAUGUUGGAUUAAAGAUUAAUUUAGGUGUAGAAGUUUAAAUUUUUGGUCUGUUCGACCAUUGAAUCUUUACAUGAUCUGAGUUCAAACCGGUGUAAGCCAGGUCGGUUUCUAUC
rnacentral:rRNA from 1 species